UUGUGAUUUGUUGGAGUGACAAGUUUUCGAACGAACAUCUGAGUCACGGGUGAUGACCGGCGCUUUUUGGAGUGUCGAAGUCUUUUGCUUGGUUGGGGUGAUCGCGAACGGAAGUUCUGUUGUACGUGGUGUGAUAGUGUCCCGAAUUCCAAGAGGUCUGAACCGUGCCGUUCCCUGAUAAACGGGCAGGGCACGCAUCGCCAUCCUCUACGUUAAAAAGGGAAUUUUAGAAUAAAUCCGAAAGCCCCGUGAUUUUGUGGACUCAUUGCCACGUGCUGAGUUCUGUUACUGAAGAUUUUGGUUGGACAGUGCUCGGUGGCGAGCUCUGCGCUGUGUCCUGCUUUAGCGGCUGUCGCCGGAUUUUCCCUCCGUUGAAGGUAUGUUGUAGUUUCUUUCUCGACCUCAUUCGCCUCUCCGCUGAGUUAGGAUGAAUUACUAGAAACGUGGCACUCGGUCACGGGCUACCCUACUUCAUAGGUUGGUUCCGUUUUCUAUUGAGCUUGUCAAUUAUUUUAGUUUACUUUGAAAAAGUAGAUUACCCACAUAACGAUUACAUUUUACCAAAAAGUAAAUUCCUAAAUAAAUUUACCAUUGUGAUGUAUUAUCGAUGGAUUUUGUUGUGUUAACUAUUUUUAGUUCGCUUUGUGAAGGUAGAUGAUAUAAUAAUUACGAUGAUUACAUUUUACCAAAUGUUACUUUCUAAAUAGAUUUACCAAUAGUAAUGAAUUACCGAUAGAUUUUGCUGUGUUCACAUUUGCUCCAUCCUCGAGAGCGAUGGAUUAUUGUUUUUAAAUUGUUUUUAAUAUUAUGUAUUGUGCUGUUGUAUAAUAUAAUUUUUUAUUGUACAAUAGGAGGUGUAUGGUACCGGCUGCUCUGUUGGCACCGGCUAUCAGGUGUUUGGCACCGGCUGUCCCGCAGUGCCAGACGCUUGCUGCGCCCGACGGGUGCGGAGGGGGUUGAGCCGAGUGGUGGCGACUAGCGCGCUAGUAAUCUUAAGUAUUUUUAAUCAGUACCAACCAAACGGCCCAACGACCCAUCCCUUAAUUUUUCUUUUUAAAUAUUUGUGUCUAACCCAUAAUUAAAUUGUUGUCAAUUUAAA